rnacentral:lncRNA from 1 species
CAAUACAUCGCAUACAUGUAUCCUAUAUUCGUACGGACACAUGUCAACGGUUAAACUUAGUAUGACUUAAGCAUCAAAGAAUACUCUAGAGACCUCUUCUAACGAGUUCUUGAUGGUUUUACAGAUUUGACUCGAGAUGGAGAAGACGAGGUGUGGUUCUCCUAAUUCCCAAAGGAAAGGACGCCGGAGCGUCAAGUGGACAAACAAGUGGCGAUUUGCGUUUGAAGGGCUUACUUUGAAGCUAUCUCCAUCGCUCAUCUCAAGUUAACCCCUGCUGCAAGAGAAAGAGUUUUAGCUUUUAAAAGGCUUAAUCCUGAGGUCAGAAGUUUUCAAGUCACCAUCCAAGAUUCACAAGAGGUAUCCUCCGUAUCUGCCACAAUGUCAAGUGCUGGGAAAUCCGCUAAGUCUGCCAAAUCUGCCUCCUUGUUUGGGAUUGAUGAUCUUGCCAACGUCACGUCUUCGAAGAAGAAGA